UCCCUGGUGGUCUAGUUGUUAAGACAGUGCACUUCCACUGCAGGGGCACAGGUUCAAUCUCUGGUGGGGGAA
rfam:Ovis aries breed Texel chromosome 2, whole genome shotgun sequence.